ensembl:lincRNA
UGUUGCAUGGAGGGAGCCACCAACUGGAGGCAGCAGCCCUAGGCUGUUGGAAUGGCUGCAGUGGGUCUGUCUUUGAAGUCUUACCCUGCAGUUAUCUCUCAUUGCACCAGGCAGGCUGUAAGCAAGCCCGUUGCAUGCAGCUGUCACCAUUUAAGCCAGCAGGCGUUUGAAGAUGUGCCGCCCCUCACCCCUUGUGAGGGAAGCCAGAAUAGAACAAAGUGUGGUGUUCCCAUGAAAUCAUCUGAGUGCUUGAUAAGAGUUCUUCACAGGAAUGUAGGCGAUUAG